CACCUCACAGCUCACUGAGGGGCGCAUUCUGAGUAGGCUCAACACCAGGAACAGUCCUUGCCAAGGAAACAUCUCUUACUAAUAGUCCGUAGAACUGGCCUAAACAGGGAUCUCUUGCAUCUCAGAUUUUCUCAGUUACGAGGACUCAGCAUACUCUGGCAACAUUCCUUCCUGCUCCUCAGGAAAGAUCUUCCAGAAUAUAGCUCUCCACUUCCUCACUGCCUAGCCAUGUUCUCAAUGACCAUUCUGCUGCUUGGAAUGCUCUUCACAGUGAGAGGAACCGGAGCCCAGUCAGUGACCCAGCCUGACGACCACAUCAGUGUCUCUGAAGGAGCCCCUCUGGAGCUGAGGUGCAUCUAUUCCUAUAGUGGAACUCCUACUCUCUUCUGGUACGUCCAGUACCCCAGCCAAGGCCCCCAGCUUCUCCUCAAGUACUAUUCAGGGAACACCCGGGUUAAAGGCAUUAAAGAUUUUGAGGCUGAAUUUAAGAAGAAUGAAACCUCCUUCCAUCUGAGAAAAUCAUCAGCCCAUUGGAGUGACUCGGCUGAGUACUUCUGUGCUUUGAGUGACACAGUGACUGAGUCUGUAGGGGGAGCUGAACACAAAACUUCAGAGUUACUGAGGUUUUCAGAGACUUAAGGACAUAGCCUAAACUGUUUUUAUCAAGAUCUCUC